rnacentral:rRNA from 1 species
UACGAAGGGGCUAGCGUUGCUCGGAAUCACUGGGCGUAAAGCGCACGUAGGCGGCUUUCUAAGUCAGGGGUGAAAUCCUGGAGCUCAACUCCAGAACUGCCUUUGAUACUGGAGAGCUUGAGUCCGGAAGAGGUGAGUGGAACUCCGAGUGUAGAGGUGAAAUUCGUAGAUAUUCGGAAGAACACCAGUGGCGAAGGCGGCUCACUGGCCCGGUCCUGACGCUGAGGCGCGAAAGCGUGGGAGCAACAGG